UUAAAGGGGAAAAUGGCGGAGCGACUUAAAGUGAAUAUUUAAGGUUUUUUCUCCUCCUGAAGUAAGUUUCUGAUGAAUGAUUCCAUCUUUUAGCGUACGACUUGAUAAGAUUUUUAAGAUUUCGAUCUCUUAACACCUUCAUAACAGCUGGAAGAGUCAGCCUCGACCUAUCCUCUUUUGAGUCUUGAUGCAUGUCCUAAAGUUUGAGAUCUUUAGAAUCAUGAAAGUCCUGAAAAUGAUUGCAUCCAAAAUAGGUUUGCAGGCAUCAUUGGUGGCUUGUUGUGUCUUUACCAUUUGACACCUAAGUGUGAUUAGCAUCUCAUUUCACCUCACAAUAUCACCCCUGAAUCACUCAUGUAAGUCAUGAGAAUAAAGGAAAUGAUCACUAACCGGAGAAUCUCUUGAUUGCUAAACAAAUUCUCCUUGUCAGCACCUUAGGAAAUGUAUAGAGAAUAGUUUAGAGAAUUUACAUACUGAUGUUAGCAUAAAAAUGCUGGGUUAAAACUCAGGCUGCUAGUGAUUAUAAAUUACUGUUUCCUUUUCUAUGUGCAUUGAUGUGCAUGGUGCUCUGUUGCUGAAUGAGGAAUCAAGAAUGAACAAUAACACCAAUAGUCCUUUAACAAUCAAGCAGUUUUUCAGUACAUUAUGCUGUGACAUAGUUACUGAGAAACAAGACUGAACAAAGACGUUUAUAUCCAGUCAGAGAUUUGUAGAAGAGCAAUGAAUGUGCUAUUGACAAAGUUCAAUUCAGAUUGUGAGAGGAAGCAAAGAAGAACGAAAAAGUCUAAGACAAGGAAAAGGCUCAAAAUGUUGGUUCAGCUAUCUAGUACCAGUUGAAUAUUUAUUAGACAC